GAUGAACGCUGGCGGCGUGCCUAACACAUGCAAGUCGAGCGAACGGACGAGAAGUUUGCGUCGUUGAUGUUAGCGGCGGGCGGGUGAGUAACACGUGUAUAACCUACCUAUAAGUCUGAGAUAACUUCGGGAAAGCGGAGCUAACACCGGAUAAUAUUUUGAACCGUAGGGUUCAAAAGAGAAAGACGGUCUUGCUGUCACUUAUAGAUGGUUCCGGGCUGCAUUGGCUAGUUGGUAAGGUAACGGCUUACCAAGGCUACGAUGCAUAGCCGACCUGAGAGGGUGAUCGGCCACACUGGAACUGAGACACGGUCCAGACUCCUACGGGAGGCAGCAGUAGGGAAUCUUCCGCAAUGGGCGAAAGCCUGACGCAGCAACGCCGCGUGUGUGAUGAAGGUCUUCGGAUCGUAAAGCUCUGUUAUUAGGGAAGAACAGAUGUGUAAGUAACUGUGCACAUCUUGACGGUACCUAAUCAGAAAGCAACGGCUAACUACGUG
rnacentral:rRNA from 1 species